rnacentral:lncRNA from 1 species
GAGCGGAAGUCACACGACCUACUCCGCUGAGGUCCGCAAAAAACAAUAUUUUUAAACAGGAAAAGAUGAGAAGAGCACGCCCGUGAGUUUAAACAUAAAGGUACAUAUUUACCAGUCACUCCCAAAACCCUUUGGAGGGGUUCACAGAGUGUGUAUUGUGGCCGGGGACAGCAGAUGCACCAGAACCGCGGCGCACGUCCUUCCCCCACAGGAUGCACCGCUCCGGUACGACGAUAACUGUCCGAGCGACUCAAGCGAGAUCACAAAUCUAACUCAGCAAAGACCUGUACACAGGGAAUAUGAAAUAUAGCACAAAACCAGAACAUACAUGUUGUGUAUUAAUG